rfam:Cavia porcellus supercont2_73 genomic scaffold, whole genome shotgun sequence.
GGGGAUUUAGUUCAGCGGCAUAAGCACCUGCCUUGCAAGCAGGUGGUCAUGAGUUUGACUCCUAGUACCGA